GGCUUACCUUUUUGUUGUGGGUCUGAUGAAUGACACGAGGUGGAGAAUGAAUUCAACGCAUUGCUCGUGCUAUUUAACAGCGGACUCUGACGGAAUUCUAGUCAAAAUGAAGUUGAUGAUCAAGUCAAGAUGUACUUGACGAUGAACGUCCAUCGCCUAAGAGUCAACAGUAGACAACGAAUGGACAUCGUGUGCAGCAUAACCCAACACAGCAUUAAGAACUCAAACAUAACACAUCAUUAGAAUCGGAUGCCGUUUCGUCCACUUGUCAAGAACAGAGGCUAUAGGGAAUCAACGCCCAUGAAAUACGGGGAUGGAUGUCGUCAAUUGCACCAGCUGAACGUACUUGCGUCAUUUUCAGAAUUCAAGUGUCAUCUCCGCUGACGUUAGACAACAUUAUCCGUGGAAGAUCAAAGAAUUUGAGCUUCCGAGAAACGGUCGUAGGAGUAGAGUCGUAAAUCAGCCCCAACCCACAAUAGUAAGGUGACAUCAAAGGCGCGUAGAGCCACGUUCGCAUUUGCGCCCGAGCAACACAAGACACCGAACCUUUGUACUCGCUGCCUGGAUUUAAAUCUUGGAGAUACCAGUCCUGAGAAUUGCUGUUUUCUUUGAAGGCUGGGCGAGCUAUUUACACCAGUAAUAAACAACGAUAACGGCAAGAUAUAUAUUAACAGAGUGGAGUAAACGAAAAGUUACAAGAUACAUUGCAAUGACAAAACAGGAAUGACAGAAACAGACAUCACCGGACACCGUGGACAAAGUACAUCUGGAUAUUCAAAGUAAUGACGAGUGUAUUUAUGAAGCUGUUGAAAGACGGCCGUAAGUAUGUUCUUUCGCCACAGCAACCGGUAUAUUUAGACGAAAAGAAAACCAACCUAAUGGAUGUAAUACUGGACGAUUAGAAUGAUUGACAGGACAAAAGAAAUGUACAUCAAACAUAUUUGGCUAGAAUCAGGUUACCAACAGUUGCUGCGGAUUUGCACACGAAGACAGUUUAUGUUUGAAAGAAAGCGAGCACCACCUCAGAAUGAGAAAUUGCUUUGAGAAAAUGUUAAACCUGAAAAAGGAAUGUUUGCAUGAAUCUGGUAAAUCGUUAACAAAACAAAAAUCAUGAUUUUUUUGUUGACUUAUUUGCAAAGCGAACCCCAAGAGCAAUUUCCAUCACAAAGGACGGUAUGUUGCUGAAGAGGACAUACGGUUGAAGUAACGACAUUCUGACACUGGUGUUCCUGUGUUUAUUGUUCCUGGUUUCCAAGUCAAUUACUCAAGGUCCUGUAUAAUUGUGACUUGAGUAUAAUUACACUCGUUAACGGUGCUGUAAAAUGGACGUUAUGAAAUAAUAUUUUCAUAUGUAAUUUUUUAAAAAAGAAGAUAUAUUUGAAUAAAAUUUACC